CCCUUUUUGGGGGGGCGUUUGAGGAAGUGACGUUGCUAAUGGUGCAUUUAUAACGUCAGGUCCAUUUUGCUUUUAUCGUCCACGAAUACGUUCUAGACGUGCAGCUGCUGGCGAUUAUCACUGCACCCGUUUGAACAGGUAAGAGAAUAUGGCGACUAUAAGCCGCACAUUUGUUGGACUCGUGAUCACUGUUGUCAUCGCCCCAGUGUUAGCUGAGAAGGUGCUCAGAUCUGCUCAUAUGCCCACUACUUCGAACAAUACAAAUCCCAAGCCAUGGCCAUGCCGGAUUGCCGGACAGCCGUGCUUUGGCACAUGGCAGUGCUGUGCAGAAAGUCCUUGUACGAAUUACAGGUGUAGCUAAACCGUUGCUAGCCUGAAGGGGAAUUCAGUCUAGACGUCAUGCACUCAUUCAGCUCAAUAUAUCACAAAGACGGCAAAAUACCAAGAAGCAAAAGUUCUCCAGAAUGAAAAGAAAGCACGUGAUGUGUGUUGGAAUAAUAAACUAUGGAAAGAAGCAGUUGGAAUAAUAACUUGUUGUUUUAUAAUGCUGA